rnacentral:lncRNA from 1 species
AAUUAGUUAUCAAUUCUCCUAUAAUAUAUACGUAUAAAAAUUGGGUUCUGGACUAAAUAUAUUCCUCGAAGAAAACCCUGUUAUGAGUGAAGUAUAAAUCAAUUUUAAUUGUGUUAGUUAGAGAAUUAGUUAGUUGUGGAUUGUAUGAUGUGCAUUGGACCUAGUUUGUUAUGUAAGACCAAAUCCAUAUGAAGUGCACAAGUGUGUAAAUAAGUGAGAUAUCCAUUGAUAGAAGUUAGUGCAGUUUAUCGUUUUUUAAAUUCCAUUUCCUAACUGUUUCACACUUCCUCCAUCAAUUUCAAAAAUAUUGAGAAUGCAACCACAUACAAAGAAGCCUAGAAAGUUCUAGAGAAAGUCAUGUUGGUGAUGACAACUCAAGAUUCAAGAAGGUACAAUUGCAAACAAUGUGAUGACAAUUUGAGCUUUUGCAAAUGGAACUAAAUGAGAAUAUCUUUGAAUAUUUCAAUAGAAUAACAGUGGUGGGAAACCAGGUGAAGAUGUGUAUGAUCAAAAAAUGGUGAACAAGGUAAUGCACACUCUUUCUUGAAAAUUUGGUUACAUAUAUAGAAGUUGCAAUUGAGGAAUCAAGGGACUUGUAAGUUAUGAAAGUUGAGGAAUUUCAGUGUGUUCUUUGGAAGCUCAUAAACAACGAGUCUUGGAGAGAAACAAAGAAUGUGUUAUAUAUUGAGCAAGCAUUGUAAGCUCACAUCUCCAAGAAAGGAGGUGGAUAGAAGUGAAAUGAGGAUACACGUUUAAGAAAGGAGACAAUCAACAUAUGCAAGACAAUUCAAGAGAUGGCAUGAUCUUGUUCAAUCUUCAUCGAUAACAAGAAGGGAAAUAAGCCACAAAAGAGACAAAAAUUUAGUAUUAUUGUUAGAACACAUGAAGUGUUAGUGUGAAUUAAAAAAAUUCUCACGUCAACUUUCUCAAUUAUUGCUCAUUUAUGAGGUGAUGUCAAACAAUUAAUUUUCUAACGGUCAAAUGAUCUUAGCUGUCGGAUCUAAAAUUCAUCUUUGAUUCAUCACCUAUAAAUAGAACUCUCAUUCCUCACUUGUACUCACCCCAAAAGUUCUCUUGAGUUGUUAAAGAAAUUUUCUCUCUUCUCCCUCCUUUAGCUUGUCUUGACGAGCUAUUCUUUUC